GCCUACGGCCAUACCACCCUGGACGCACCCAAUCUUGUCUGAUCUCGGAAGCUAGGCAGGGUCAGGCCUAGUUAGUACUUGGAUGGGAGGAAGAAUGUCAACUCUAGAGAUUUAGCAA
rnacentral:rRNA from 1 species